rnacentral:rRNA from 1 species
AACGAACGCUGGCGGCAGGCUUAACACAUGCAAGUCGAACGCAUCCUUCGGGGUGAGUGGCAGACGGGUGAGUAACGCGUGGGAACGUGCCCUUCAGUUCGGGAUAACCCAGGGAAACGUGGGCUAAUACCGGGUACGUGCGAGACCAGAACGAUUGAUCGCUGAAGGAUCGGCCCGCGUCUGAUUAGCUAGUUGGUGGGGUAAUGGCCCACCAAGGCGACGAUGAGUAGCUGGUCGGAGAGGAUGAUCAGCCACAUUGGGACUGAGACACGGCCCAAACUCCUACGGGAGGCAGCAGUGGGGAAUAUUGGACAAUGGGCGCAAGCCUGAUCCAGCCAUGCCGCGUGAGUGAUGAAGGCCUUAGGGUUGUAAAGCUCUUUCGUCCGGGACGAUAAUGACGGUACCGGAAGAAGAAGCCCCGGCUAACUUCGUGCCAGCCGCCGCGGUAA